GCUCCAGACAAGCUCUUGUGGCAUUGGUUGUCAGCAAGGCCCUGUCUUAGCCGUGGCCCAGGCUAGUGGCAGUUUGCGCCUUGCACGAACGAUGCCCGGCUUGCGAUUGACUUAUCGCCGGGGCGCGGUAAUCGUAUGGCAGCUCGCUCAGACGGCCUUGUAGCUUCCAGGCGCGCUGUUUACAGUGCGCCCGAGGUGGAGCUCAGAAUCUGUCUGUGGGUUGCCUAGCGCUGCAGGAUGAUCUCCUUUUCACGUGCGCAAGUUGCGGCCAUCUUCUUACUUUCCGCGCCUGCUGCGCUUGCAGUAGGCAGUGCGCUUGCAAGUUGAGGCUGUCGACUUUGCGCUUACUUAAAGGGGAAAGCUUG
rnacentral:rRNA from 1 species